rnacentral:rRNA from 1 species
GAUGAACGCUGGCGGCGUGCCUAAUACAUGCAAGUAGAACGCUGAAGCUUGGUGCUUGCACCGAGCGGAUGAGUUGCGAACGGGUGAGUAACGCGUAGGUAACCUGCCUGGUAGCGGGGGAUAACUAUUGGAAACGAUAGCUAAUACCGCAUAACAGUCGACAUUGCAUGAUGUUGAUUUGAAAGGGGCAAUUGCUCCACUACCAGAUGGACCUGCGUUGUAUUAGCUAGUUGGUGAGGUAACGGCUCACCAAGGCGACGAUACAUAGCCGACCUGAGAGGGUGAUCGGCCACACUGGGACUGAGACACGGCCCAGACUCCUACGGGAGGCAGCAGUAGGGAAUCUUCGGCAAUGGGGGCAACCCUGACCGAGCAACGCCGCGUGAGUGAAGAAGGUUUUCGGAUCGUAAAGCUCUGUUGUAAGAGAAGAACGAGUGUGAGAGUGGAAAGUUCACA